rnacentral:rRNA from 1 species
GAUGAACGCUAGCGGCAGGCUUAAUACAUGCAAGUCGUGGGGCAGCAUGAGUAGCAAUACUUGAUGGCGACCGGCAAACGGGUGAGGAACACGUACACAACCUUCCUUCAAGCGGGGAAUAGCCCAGAGAAAUUUGGAUUAAUACCCCGUAAUAUAUUUGAUAAGGCAUCUUAUUAAUAUUAAAGCUUCGGCACUUGAUGAUGGGUGUGCGGCUGAUUAGAUAGUUGGCGGGGUAACGGCCCACCAAGUCUACGAUCAGUAGCUGAUGUGAGAGCAUGAUCAGCCACACGGGCACUGAGACACGGGCCCGACUCCUACGGGAGGCAGCAGUAAGGAAUAUUGGACAAUGGACGAAAGUCUGAUCCAGCCAUGCCGCGUGAAGGAUUAAGGUCCUCUGGAUUGUAAACUUCUUUAUAUGGGACGAAAAAAGGGCAUUCUUGUUCACUUGACGGUACCAUAUGAAUAAGCACCGGCUAACUCCGUGCCAGCA